AACUUUCAACAACGGAUCUCUUGGCUCUCGCAUCGAUGAAGAACGCAGCGAAAUGCGAUAAGUAAUGUGAAUUGCAGAAUUCAGUGAAUCAUCGAAUCUUUGAACGCACCUUGCGCUCCUU
rnacentral:rRNA from 3 species